rnacentral:lncRNA from 1 species
GUGAUGCACAAAUUAACCCUCAGAUUUUCCUUUACUCAUUGAAUUGGAUGAAUGCAUGCGACAACCUAAAUCAUUCUCUAAAAGUCCCCUAUAUGAAUGCAUAAUAGAGAUACAAUUAAAGAUCAUUAAGUUCCAUGAAAAUCAUAAGCGUUGACAAGGCAAUUGUAACUAUGAAUGCAUGAUACUUUUGCCAAGAAUUCAAUUAACGCGAUUGUGACAAGCAACCUUCACUACUCAUGAAUAUAAACUUG